rnacentral:lncRNA from 1 species
CUUUAAGCUAUAUUACAAAAUAAAAUAAAAAAUAGAGAAGUGACGUCAUGCUUUCAAAACACAGUAACCUAGUUUCCAAUUUCCAUAGUAGCUUCAAUCUUUCUUUCUUUCUUUUUUCUUCAUUCUGAGCUUGAAACGGCGACGUUUUGUUCCAAAUCCGUCGAAUCAGACUUCAAAGUCGGAACGGCCGCAACAUAACGAGCUGAAAAAUUCCGAAACCCAUCAGGAGAAUCAUUUUCGAACUCCCCAUUCUGUCCCUCAUCGAAAUUCAAAGCGUAACUCAAAGGAUCGUAUUGAUACUUCCCCGCAUGACGGAAACCACCGCUCUUGUUCCGGUUGAACCUCCGAAUAAACGUCUUCCACCGUGGUCCAGCAACGAUCUCUGACCACUCGCGGAUUUUCAUGAAUCCACGCGAUACAGACGAAGCUCUCACGCGCUCCCACCAUGGUUCGGUGGUGGUGGAGUGACGAGAACCGAAGCAGGGGAAGCAGAAGGUGCAGCGCGUGUUUGAAGUUUCUUCAUUGCUGAGAGAUGAUGAAUCGUGGUUCAUGAUGGUGUUGCGGCGUUUUCCGUGUUUGGUGGUAGUGUUGAGUAAAAUGAAAUUAGUGUGUGUUGUUUAUAUAUGGAUCGUUGUGACGUGGCUCUAGUGAAUGGUGAUUUGUGUAGGUGGUUAAGGUUAGUGGUGUGAUUAAUCGGGGUUUGGAGCCGUUGUAAUGUUGACUUUCUUGGUUGGCAGUGAAUAGAAUAUGCUGGUUAGUUGACGGAAAUGCUACACUGUUCUGCACUCAUUAUUGUAUAUACAGCUGUAAAUUCGGCAGUUGAAAAAGAAAAAUGAGGAAACAAUUUACUCCCGUUAGCAAACAUUAAGAAAAACUCAAAUAAUGUUUGUAUUGAUGAUAAAUUGAAUAUUACAAAUAAGUGAAUUAACCCACUAAUGGGGUGGUUACAAC